rfam:Micromonospora humi strain DSM 45647 genome assembly, contig: Ga0070213_112
GUCGGCGUGGCCUAGCGGCUAAGGCACCUCGUUGUCAGCGAGGGGAUCGCGGGUUCGAGUCCCGUCGUCGGCG